rnacentral:rRNA from 1 species
AGUGAACGCUGGCGGUAGGCCUAACACAUGCAAGUCGAACGGCAGCACAGUAAGAGCUUGCUCUUACGGGUGGCGAGUGGCGGACGGGUGAGGAAUACAUCGGAAUCUACUUUUUCGUGGGGGAUAACGUAGGGAAACUUACGCUAAUACCGCAUACGACCUACGGGUGAAGGCAGGGGAUCUUCGGACCUUGCGCGAUUGAAUGAGCCGAUGUCGGAUUAGCUAGUUGGCGGGGUAAAGGCCCACCAAGGCGACGAUCCGUAGCUGGUCUGAGAGGAUGAUCAGCCACACUGGAACUGAGACACGGUCCAGACUCCUGCGGGAGGCAGCAGUGGGGAAUAUUGGACAAUGGGCGCAAGCCUGAUCCAGCCAUACCGCGUGGGUGAAGAAGGCCUUCGGGUUGUAAAGCCCUUUUGUUGGGAAAGAAAAGCAGCAGGUUAAUACCCCGCUGUUCUGACGGUACCCAAAGAAUAAGCACCGGCUAACUUCGUG